CUCCCCUUUCCCUUUCCUCCCCACACCAAACCCUAGCCGCGUCACUCAUGUCUCUCUCACUCCUCACCAACGCAUUUUUGGCAAAGUUUCAGAUGAGAAAAAGUCUUUGACAGGUCUGUAUGGCAAUUUGAAGCAAAGCAUUUAUGGUUUCCACUCCAUUUCACCAAACGCGGUACAAUAUCAUCCUCUCUCUUCACUUUUCUGUGAAUCUCAACGGGAAGAAUUGAUUUUCUUUAAUUAGAUUUGUUUGUAUCUGAGUUUGAAUGGGCAAUUGCCAUUGGUGGAGAAUCGCACGGAUCGACCUCAUAUGGGGCAAAAUCUGACCGUAGAUCUCCCUUUACCUUCAUUCUUAUCCGUUGAUUGAUGUGUUGAAGUUAAUUUGUGAGAAAAAACCCCAAAGUCCCACAUCGGACCGUUUAGGGUUUUUGAGAAUUUGGGGGUUCUAUAUAAAGAACCCCAUUCUCCACAUUUCUAGAGAGCUUUGGAGCAUAUUGAAACAUCACUAUACUCAAAAGUCGAAUUACCUAGGGUUUCUAACUUUUGAGACCUUUAAUUAUUCGACUAAGUUCAAAAUUUUAAGGUUUAAUUAUUUUUUGCUUGUUUGUGGCUGAGUUUGGGGAUUUUGAGGAGCAAAGGAUCUUCAAGGUUCAUUCUCGACUCAAGGCUGCACCAGGAAGAGGCCCAAUUAUCUUAUUCGAUCGAGUCCGUGUGAGAAAAAUGGCAAGGGAAGCUAAUAUAUAUUGAAGGCCCAGCUAUGGGUGAAAAUAGCAAACUGGUGGGCUUAGGUAGGCCCACCAGCCUAAACUUCCCUCUUACAUUCAUUAUUUGUGUAAAAAUUAUAUUUGUAAAACGCUUGAUGAUUAUUGGAACCCAUUAUGUAUGUUAGAACU